GACGAACGCUGGCGGCGUGCUUAACACAUGCAAGUCGAACGGAAAGGCCCUGCUUGUCGGGUACUCGAGUGGCGAACGGGUGAGUAACACGUGGGUGAUCUGCCCUGCACUUCGGGAUAAGCCUGGGAAACUGGGUCUAAUACCGGAUAGGAGCCAUUUUUAGUGUGAUGGUUGGAAAGUUUUUUCGGUGUAGGAUGAGCUCGCGGCCUAUCAGCUUGUUGGUGGGGUAAUGGCCUACCAAGGCGGCGACGGGUAGCCGGCCUGAGAGGGUGGACGGCCACAUUGGGACUGAGAUACGGCCCAGACUCCUACGGGAGGCAGCAGUGGGGAAUAUUGCACAAUGGGCGCAAGCCUGAUGCAGCGACGCCGCGUGGGGGAUGACGGCCUUCGGGUUGUAAACUCCUUUCGCCAGGGACGAAGCUUUUUGUGACGGUACCUAGAGAAGAAGCACCGGCUAACUACGUG
rnacentral:rRNA from 1 species